GAGGUGCUGCUAGUGCGGCUGAGAUUCAUGAUGCGGGGCGGGGGCCGAGCAGCUGCGAGGAAGGGCGCGUUACAACCCCCGGCCGACAAGGCAGCCCACACCCGAGCUGGGGACACCCAGGCGGAGCGCUCCGCCAAAGGACGGUGCUUAGAUCGCCCAGAGCGGGAGAGGUGCCCAGGUGAGGUGGACGCUGCUGGUCCAGGACCGCACCGUGAGAACCACGGUCCUGACUAAUAGGGACUGACUGAGGCCUGCUGCCGGAGCCCGCCCAGCACCCAGCGUGGAGAAGCUUUGCUACCAGCUUCAGCUCCUGCCAGAGAGCUUCCAGCCUGCUCUUCCUGACAACCUGUCCUACAGAUCUCAGACUUGCCUAGCCACCUCUCAUGAUUGCAUUAGCCAAUUCCUUGUGCUACCUCCCUGACUGAUAACACCUGUUGAUGGAUAUUUGGGUAGUUUCCAGUUGUGGACUAUUAUGAAUAAAAAUGCUAUGAACAUUUGAGAGCAAGUCUUUGCAUGGAUAUAUGUUUUAGUUUUUCUGGGAUAAAUACCUAGGAGUGGAAUUGCUGGAUCAUUUGGUGUGCAUUAAACUUUAUGUGAAACUGUAAAACUACUUUAAAAAUUCCUGUACCAGUUUGUAUUUCUACCAGAAAUGUAUGAAAAUUCCAGUUGCUCUACAUCUUUGUCAGCACUUGGCAUUGUCAGUCUUCUUAAUUUUAGCCAUUCUAGUGGAUGUACAUAGUGACAUGUGGUUUUUAUUUAUCUUUUUUUGAUGACAAAUGAUGUUGAGUAUUUUUUCAAAUGUUUAUUGGUCAUUUGUGUAUCUUCUUUUGCAAAAAUACCUGUUCAAAUAUUUUGUUCAUUUUAAAAUUGAGUUAUUCUUAUUGAAUUGUGGUUCUUUAUACAUAUUUGGAUGCAUGUUCUGUGUCAAGUAUACGUAUUCCAAAGAUUUUUCACUCCCGUCUAUGGCUUGUCUUUUCAUUUAAAAAAAUGGUAUCAUUUGGAGAGCAGAAAUUUAAAAAUUUGAUGAAGUCAAAUAUUUCUUUUAUGCCUUAUGCUUUUGGUAUUUUAAGAAAUCUUUGCUUAACCCAUUAAAAAUUUUUCCUGUUUCCUUCUAGAAGCCUUGUAGUUUUAGCUUUUACUUUUACAACUGUGAUCCAUUUGAAGUUAAUUUUCGUGCAUAGUGUUUGGUAAGGGUCGAGUUUCCUUUUUUUCCUCCUAAGUGGUUAUCUAAUUCCUCUAGCACCAUUUUUGGAAAAGACUAUUCUUUCUCUAUUGAACUACCUUGGCAUUUCAAAAAUCAAUUAACCAUAUAUGUUGGUCUAUUUCUGGAUUUUAUUCUGUUACAUUGGUCUGUCUACCCUAGUGCUGAUACCACACUCUCUUGACUACUGUACCAUUAUAGUAAAUCUUGAAAUCAGGUAGUUGAGUCCUCCAACUCUGUUCUUCUAUUUCAAAACUGUUUUGGCUCUUCCAGAUUCUUUGCAUUUUCGUAUAAAUUUUAGAAUCAGCUUGUUGCCAGUUUCUAAAAAAAAAAAAAAAGAAAAAGCCUCUGGGAUUUUUAUUGGGAUCCUGUUGCAUGCAUAGUUCAAUUUGGGGAGAAUUGUCAUCCCGAUUUUGAGACAUCCAAUGCAUGAACACGUUGUAAUCUCUUCAUUUGUUUAGAUCUUUAAUUUUCUUAGCAAUGUUUUACAGAUUUUAGUGUUCAGAUCCAGCACAUCUCUUGUUAAAUUUAUUCCUAUGUAUUUCAUGUUUUCAGAUGCUAUAGCAAAUAGUAUAUACUUCAAAAUUUCAUGUCCUAAUAGUUUACUUUUAGUAUAUAGAAAUACAGUUGGUUUUCAUAUACUGACCUUGUAUUCUGAUUUUGCUAAAUUCAUUUAUUAGUUCCAGUAGCUUUUUUGUACC